CUCAGCCAAUCACAAGCACGUUCUCAUUAGUGCUCAAUAAAAGUCUCCUCUAUAUUAACGCAUACGUAUGCGGUCUGGUUGCUUCUGUGCGUCGUUCGGCGAAACUUGGGGUUAGCAUAGCAUAGCAAGCAAGCUGGACUGCGUUUCGUUUAUUUCGUCGUUUCCAAGAAGAUCUGCUCUUGUCUUUUUGUGUUUUAACAAUCCGGACACCGUGGCCACCAACGGAGAAGCCUCCGAUGACCCCGCAGUGAGUACUGGCCAUCUGAGGAGAUUGGACGAUUUUUACAAACACCGCCAGAGGAUUCCCGAACAACCAUCUCGCUAGAUUCAAGUCAGGCUGGCCUUCCUAAUGUGUUCUGAUGACUACAAUGGACGGUCCUGAAGGACUGGAGCUGUGGGUGGAAGAGAGCCUGGAGGGCUCCAGAUGUGGAGGACCAGGAGGCGUCCAGAUGUUGAAGACAGGAAGAUCUGGUCUACAGAUGUGGAGGAUAACAUCCUUUUAAUUUCAUCCUUUUAAUUUCUUUCUUGGUCAAAUUGAGUUACUCAUGACUGCACUCUGUACUGAGGACUUGGUGUUAGAUCUUCUGUCUCUGUACUGGUGACUUGGUGUUUGAUAUUCUUGCACUGGUUGUGGCUUCAGGAGGGCUCUGUACUGGUGACUUGGUCUUUGAUCCUGACUGGUGUUUUAACUUUCAGACGUGACCGAUGAGGUGGGCGUUCAUCUGGUGACUGCUCCCAGGAAGAGGGCUAGCUCCUCCUACAGCAAGGGGGCGGUGGCUGGACCAGGACCUGGACCUGGAGCAGCACAGCAGCUUGUGGACAUGGACCCUGGGCUCAAAGUUUCUUCAUCUUUAAGAGGACGGACGACCUGGUGGCCCACAGCAGACAGGAGUAGAGGGACACCGCUGGCAACUAACCCUAGACCUAGACCACCUAAACUAGACUUAAACCAUCUAACCCCUCAACCUAAACUAGACUUAAACCAUCUAACCCCUCAACCUAAACUAGACUUAAACCAUCUAACCCCUCAACCUAAACUAGACUUAAACCAUCUAACCCCUCAACCUAAACUAGAC
ensembl:lncRNA